rnacentral:tRNA from 1 species
UGCUUGGGUAGCUCAGUUGGUAGAGCACUUGCCCGCGGAAGGCAAUGGUCCCGAGUUCGAGUCUCGGUCCGGCAA